AACCCAUAGAUAAUAUGUCAACUGGAGAGUGUGUCUCUACUAACUCAUCGAUAAUAUGCCAACUGGAGGGUGUGUCUACUAACCCAUAGAUAAUAUGUCAACUGGAGGGUGUGUCUCUACUAACUCAUAGAUAAUAUGUCAACUGGAGGGUGUCUCUACUAACCCAUAGAUAAUAUGUCAACUGGAGGGUGUCUCUACUAACCCAUAGAUAAUAUGUCAACUGGAGGGUGUCUCUACUAACCCAUAGAUAAUAUGUCAACUGGAGGGUGUCUCUACUAACCCAUAGAUAAUAUGUCAACUGGAGGGUGUGUCUCUACUAACCCAUAGAUAAUAUGUCAACUGGAGGGUGUGUCUCUACUAACCCAUAGAUAAUAUGUCAACUGGAGGGUGUCUCUACUAACCCAUAGAUAAUAUGUCAACUGGAGGGUGUCUCUACUAACCCAUAGAUAAUUCGUCAACUGGAGUGUGUGUCUCUACUAACCCAUAGAUAAUUUGUCAACUGGAGGGUGUGUCUCUACUAACCCAUAGAUAAUAUGUCAACUGGAGGGUGUGUCUCUACUAACCCAU
ensembl:lncRNA